GGGGGCGACUUGGUUUCGACGCAGAUUGCGAAGCUCAAAGUGCAUGUCGAGGUUGUAGCAUGUCUCGUAAAAUAGGCUACACAUUAUAGUUGCAAAUGAUAGCGACUUUGCUGAUAUGGCUAUUGCUGCUUAAUUGAGUAGCGAUGCCAUGCCGAUUAAAACCCGGCAGGCACUCUAACUUUUUUGUGCUUAUGCAUUUAAGCUUAGAGUCAUUUACAUAAGACCGCGUUAACAAUAUGUUUGAGGUUGUUAAUGUUAAACUUUCUCAGACUCGUUUAUUGAAGUCCUGCCCGUUGGACGACGAUAAAUUAACUUUAAAGACGUGGCUACACAUGUAGAUCGGAGAGUAGAGGAUUUGCGGACGCGAGUUCAAUUCUCGCCGCCUCCACCA
rnacentral:tmRNA from 4 species